rnacentral:rRNA from 1 species
UACGGAGGGAGCUAGCGUUGUUCGGAAUUACUGGGCGUAAAGCGCCCGUAGGCGGCUUUGUAAGUUAGAGGUGAAAGCCCGGGGCUCAACCCCGGAAUUGCCUUUAAGACUGCAUCGCUUGAAUCCGGGAGAGGUGAGUGGAAUUCCGAGUGUAGAGGUGAAAUUCGUAGAUAUUCGGAAGAACACCAGUGGCGAAGGCGGCUCACUGGACCGGCAUUGACGCUGAGGUGCGAAAGCGUGGGGAGCAAACAGG